rnacentral:rRNA from 1 species
GGCGAUGUUUCAUUUCAAAUUUCCUGCCCUAUCAACUUUCGACGGUAGGGUAGUGGCCUACCGUGGUGGUAACGGGUGACGGAGGAUUAGGGUUCGAUUCCGGAGAGGGAGCCUGAGAAACGGCUACCACAUCCAAGGAAGGCAGCAGGCGCGCAAAUUACCCAAAUCCCAACUCGGGGAGGUAGUGACAAGAAAUAACGAUGCUCCGGCCAUCGGUCGGGUAAUCGGAAUGAGGACAAUUUAAAUCCCUUAUCGAGGAUCAAUUGGAGGGCAAGUCUGGUGCCAGCAGCCGCGGUAAUUCCAGCUCCAAUAGCGUAUAUUUAAGUUGCUGCGGUUAAAAAGCUCGUAGUCGGAUUUCGGGUGGUGCCUACCGGUCCGCCCUUGGUGUGUACUGGUAGGCGCCACCUUUCUGCCGAGGACGGGUUCCUGGGCUUAGCUGUCUGGGGCCCGGAGUCGGCGAUGUCACUUUGAGUAAAUUAGGGUGUUUAAAGCAGGCUUAUGCUCUGUAUACACUAGCAUGGGAUGACACGAUAGGACUUCGGUCUAUCUUGUCGGUCUGUAGAUCGGAGUAAUGAUUAAGAGGGACAGUCGGGGGCAUUCGUAUUUCGUAGUCAGAGGUGAAAUUCUUGGAUUUACGGAAGACGAACUUCUGCGAAAGCAUUUGCCAAGGAUGUUUUCAUUGAUCAAGAACGAAAGUCGGGGGCUCGAAGACGAUUAGAUACCGUCGUAGUCUCGACCAUAAACGAUGCCAA